rnacentral:rRNA from 1 species
CCGGCGACCGGCGCACGGUGAGUAACACGUAUGCAACCUGCCCGUCUCAGGGGGAUAAUCGUCGGAAACGGCGUCUAAUACCCCGUAUGAAGCUGGACGGCAUCGUCUGGUUUUGAAAGAAUAUCGGAGACGGAUGGGCAUGCGGCGCAUUAGCUAGUUGGCGGGGUAACGGCCCACCAAGGCGACGAUGCGUAGGGGUUCUGAGAGGAAGGUCCCCCACACUGGUACUGAGACACGGACCAGACUCCUACGGAAGGCAGCAG